UCUGGUGGCGAUAGCGGAGGGGACACACCCGUUCCCAUACCGAACACGAUCGUUAAGCCCUCCAGCGCCAAUGGUACUUAGGACGUAGGUCCUUGGGAGAGUAGGACGUUGCCAGGC
rfam:Firmicutes bacterium MLFW-2 MLFW-2_Contig_6_85X, whole genome shotgun sequence.